UACGAAGGGUGCUAGCGUUGUUCGGAAUUACUGGGCGUAAAGAGCGCGUAGGCGGCCGUAUAAGUUGAAAGUGAAAUCCCGAAGCUCAACUUCGGAACUGCUUUCAAAACUGUAUGGCUAGAAAUUGGUAGAGGAUAGUGGAAUUCCUAGUGUAGAGGUGAGAUUCGUAGAUAUUAGGAGGAACACCGGAGGCGAAAGCGACUAUCUGGGCCAAAUUUGACGCUGUGGCGCGAAAGCGUGGGGAGCAAACAGG
rnacentral:rRNA from 1 species